UUAUUAAAAGAAAAAGGGUGAAAAGAACAAAGUUUUGUCCAUCUUUGUUCAUCAUAGCCUAAAGUUAGAGAAGAGAAAGGAGAGGAGAAAGCUCUUGAAUGUUCGGUCACUUGGGGAAGAAAAUUGAAGGUAAUCCCCAACCAUAGUGGGCUUGGAGCUGUGAGGGAAUUCGGAGUGGCCACCCAUUCUGAAAGUUUGAUUUUCUUCUGAAAUAUCCAUGACGUUACGGUGUGGCAAUGGCAGUAUGCAUGUCUAGGAUUGGAUCCGAAGGGAGCUUGGUACUUAAGCAGUCCGAUGGACUCACCACCUAUUUUCUGGUUUCCUACCUGGUGCACAGCUUCCAUUCACUUUAACCUAUAAUGAAAUCAUCUUUUAAAACACUAAAGUUUCGGAAGCUUACUCGGGUUGGAAGUCGUCAGAGAUCUCAUCACACUAUCCAGCUAUGGUUUGGUAUAUAUGAGCUUUGUGAUUUUGGUUAUAUGGCAUGUAUAGGCUUGAGUCAUUUUGAUAAAGGUUUUGGGUGAUGUAUUGGGUCAUUUUAUAUGGCUUAUUAAUGGCUUAUGUUUGAUGUGUAAUUUUCCUUGUGUAAUGGCAUAAUUUGGUAUGAUUGUUGAUGGUUCAAGAUGAUCAUUUGGUCAUUUGGUAUAUGAUGAGUAUUUACUUAUGAAAAGCAUGAUUUGAGACUUGAUAAA